CUAGUCAGAGGCACAUGGAUGUACGAAUGCCAUCAAAGGCCAGUCACGAUUAUACUGGUCACUCUGGGAAGGAUCCAAAAUAAGUAACUAUGAAACAAGAUGAUUAUAUCACAUGGAUAACUGAGAACUGAGUUGAAGCAGUUGGAGUGUAUAAUUCUUCAGAGAGGAUACGUACAUACCCAGCCUAACUCCAUUUUGCAGGAUCUUCUUUCAAGGUCUUCGUCUGGUGGCAAGUGUGUGAAUGGAGCUCCAGAGAGAGAGAGGUGUUUGUGAUUCAGAGCUUGACCUUAUGCCAGCUUCAAAGUGACAGAUUGAUGUCUUUGCUGGACAUCAGUGGAGCUUUUAUUGGACACACACCUUUUUUACCCUGAUUAUGAAGUUGAUGGAGAAACUGUCAACGCUGGUCUCAUGGAUCACAUGAUAGCAGAGCUUUUUGAGAAGUCUGUUAAGAAGAUGUUUUCAACGUAGAUACGUUGUGGAAACUGUU
ensembl:lncRNA